CCAAAACAAGUAUUGAUGAGAUGAUCAGGUCUCACCAUUAAAAAAAUCGAGCUAUUUAGCCACUAUAUAAAGUUAUAGGUCAGCAUUAGAAGCCCCAAACUCUUGACAGAGAGGCAACGGAAUGACAGAAUGGGAGCUUGUGUGGUGCCAUCUAGUGUUAGUGAGGGUAAAUUUUCCCAUAUGGCGAUCUGCUAUUCCAGCAGUU